rnacentral:rRNA from 1 species
GACGAACGCUGGCGGCGUGCUUAACACAUGCAAGUCGAACGGAAAGGCCCUGCUUUUGUGGGGUGCUCGAGUGGCGAACGGGUGAGUAACACGUGAGUAACCUGCCCUUGACUUUGGGAUAACUUCAGGGAACUGGGGCUAAUACCCGAUAGGAGCUCCUGCUGCGUGGGGGGGGUUGGAAAAUUUCGGCGGUUGGGGCUGGACUAGAGGCUUAUCAGCUUGUUGGUGGGGUAGUUGUUUACCAAGGGUUUGACGGGUAGCCGGCCUGAGAGGGUGACCGGGCUCAUUGGGACUGAGGGACGGCGCAGACGGCUACGGGAGGCAGCAGUGGGGAACAUGGCGGAAUGGGCGGAAGCCUGAUGCAGCAGCGCCGCGUGCGGGAUGACGGCCUUCGGGUUGUAAACCGCUGUCGCCUGUGACGAAGAGUGAGUGACGGUAAUGGGUAAAGAAGCACCGGCUAACUACGUG